AUCUCUGGGAGAGCAGGUCUCCAUCACGUGUAAAGGCCUGGGAAGAAAAAAGCCAUCUCUCCAGUUGUCCCCCACUUCCUUCUUCCCCAGCUGUAUAUACUGUCCAUGAUGUCACCUGUUACGGAAUAUCCCUUUGGUCAGUUAGGGUUAGCUGUCCCAGCUCUUCUCCCUCCCAGUGUCUUGGACAUCCCCAGUCUCCUCCUUGGUCUUCUAUGAGAAAUUGAUUGUUCCUACAAACUCCUGUCAGCACCUCUGUCCUAACAUCUUUCUUUUUCUACAAAAUAAGAGCAACAUUGUCAAUUAUAGGACAACGCUUAGAAGGUAUGUGAUCUCCAAGAAUUACAGAAUCAAAGAAAGAGCUCCUGAACUGAGUUCACAGAUGGAGGAGAAAGCCAUUACCCCAGAUGUAACAAGUCAGACAGUAUACUUCAA